rnacentral:rRNA from 1 species
GGAUUAUGGCUGAACGCCUCUAAGCCAGAAUCCGUGCUAGAAACGAUGAUGUUAGUCCCGCAAAUCUUAGUCGAGUAAAGAUAGAGCUUCGGCUCGUAAACCAUAGUUGACUGGUCACGUUCAGUCGGGCGGAAAGGCCUGGCUGUUCUACCGGUGAAUAGCAUUCGAAAUAUUUGCGGGGGUGAAUCCUUUGCAAACGACUUGAAUAGAACGGAGUGCUGUACGUAGUAGAGUAGCCUUGUUGUUACGAUCUACUGAGGCUAAGCUCUUGUUCAACAGAU